rnacentral:lncRNA from 1 species
GCCGAAAGAAGAAUGUUCAGUACUAAGACAUUUCUGCCAAACGUUACUACAACUUUGAAAAGCCCUUCCUCUGGCUUGCUAGGAAGCUCAUUGGAGACCCUAACUUGGAGUUUGUUGCCAUGCCUGCCCCUGCCCCACUGGAGGUUGCCAUGGACCCAGCUUUGACAGAGCAUUAUAAGCAUGACUUAGAGGUUCUUCAGACAACUGCUCUCCCAGAUGACGAUGAUGA